rnacentral:rRNA from 1 species
CAGUCGCCGCGGUAAUACAGAGGGUGCGAGCGUUAAUCGGAUUUACUGGGCGUAAAGCGUGCGUAGGCGGCUUCUUAAGUCGGAUGUGAAAUCCCUGAGCUUAACUUAGGAAUUGCAUACGAUACUGGGAAGCUAGAGUAUGGGAGAGGAUGGUAGAAUUCCAGGUGUAGCGGUGAAAUGCGUAGAGAUCUGGAGGAAUACCGAUGGCGAAGGCAGCCAUCUGGCCUAAUACUGACGCUGAGGUACGAAAGCAUGGGGAGCAAACAGGAUUAGAUACCCCAGUAGUCCCUGUCUCUUAUAC